CGGCCGAACUCUACGGAGGCAGCAGUGGGAAUAUGGACAAUGGGGCAACCUGAUCCAGCCAUGCCGCGUGUAUGAAGAAGGCCCUCGGGUCGUAAAGCACUUUCAGCGAGGAAGAACGCCUAGUGGUUAAUACCCAUUAGGAAAGACAUCACUCGCAGAAGAAGCACCGGCUAACUCCGUGCCAGCAGCCGCGGUAAUACGGAGGGUGCAAGCGUUAAUCGGAAUUACUGGGCGUAAAGCGCGCGUAGGUGGCUUGAUAAGCCGGUUGUGAAAGCCCCGGGCUCAACCUGGGAACGGCAUCCGGAACUGUCAGGCUAGAGUGCAGGAGAGGAAGGUAGAAUUCCCGGUGUAGCGGUGAAAUGCGUAGAGAUCGGGAGGAAUACCAGUGGCGAAGGCGGCCUUCUGGACUGACACUGACACUGAGGUGCGAAAGCGUGGGUAGCAAACAGGAUUAGAUACCCUGGUAGUCCACGCCGUAAACGAUGUCGACCAGCCGUUGGGUGCCUAGCGCACUUUGUGGCGAAGUUAACGCGAUAAGUCGACCGCCUGGGGAGUACGGCCGCAAGGUUAAAACUCAAAUGAAUUGACGGGGGCCCGCACAAGCGGUGGAGCAUGUGGUUUAAUUCGAUGCAACGCGAAGAACCUUACCUACCCUUGACAUCGACAGAAGCCGAGAGAGAUCUUGGUGUGCCUUCGGGAACUGUCAGACAGGUGCUGCAUGGCUGUCGUCAGCUCGUGUUGUGAAAUGUUGGGUUAAGUCCCGUAACGAGCGCAACCCUUGUCCUUAUUUGCCAGCACGUAAUGGUGGGAACUCUAAGGAGACUGCCGGUGACAAACCGGAGGAAGGUGGGGACGACGUCAAGUCAUCAUGGCCCUUACGGGUAGGGCUACACACGUGCUACAAUGGCCGGUACAAAGGGCAGCGAGCUCGCGAGAGUCAGCGAAUCCCUUAAAGCCGGUCUCAGUCCGGAUCGGAGUCUGCAACUCGACUCCGUGAAGUCGGAAUCGCUAGUAAUCGGAAUCAGAA
rnacentral:rRNA from 1 species